CGUAGGGUGCGAGCGUUAAUCGGAAUUACUGGGCGUAAAGUGUGCGCAGGUGGCCGCGCAUGUCGAGUGUGAAAUCCCCGGGCUUAACUUGGGAAUUGCGCUCGAAACUACGUGGCUGGAGUGUGGCAGAGGGAGGUGGAAUUCCACGUGUAGCGGUGAAAUGCGUAGAGAUGUGGAGGAACACCAAUAACGAAAACAACCUCCUGAGCCAACACUAACACUCAUGCACGAAAGCGUGGGGAGCAAACAGGAUUAGAUACCCUGGUAGUCCACGCCCUAAACGAUGAUGACUAGUUGUUGGGGGAGUUAAAUCCCUUAGUAACGCAGCUAACGCGCGAAGUCAUCCGCCUGGGGAGUACGGUCGCAAGAUUAA
rnacentral:rRNA from 1 species